rnacentral:rRNA from 1 species
CAGUUCGGACUGUAGGCUGCAACUCGCCUACACGAAGCUGGAAUCGCUAGUAAUCGCGGAUCAGCACGCCGCGGUGAAUACGUUCCCGGGCCUUGUACACACCGCCCGUCACACCAUGGGAGUCGGGAAUGCCCGAAGUCAGUGACCCAACCUAUAGGAGGGAGCUGCCGAAGGCAGGUCUGAUAACUGGGGUGAAGUCGUAACAAGGUAGC